UGAGUAACCUGCCCUUAACUCUGGGAUAAGCCUGGGAAACUGGGUCUAAUACCGGAUAUGACUCCUCAUCGCAUGGUGGGGGGUGGAAAGCUUUUUUGUGGUUUUGGAUGGACUCGCGGCCUAUCAGCUUGUUGGUGAGGUAAUGGCUCACCAAGGCGACGACGGGUAGCCGGCCUGAGAGGGUGACCGGCCACACUGGGACUGAGACACAGCCCAGACUCCUACGGGGAGGCAG
rnacentral:rRNA from 1 species